rnacentral:rRNA from 1 species
AAUGUACGCUGGCGGCAUGCCUAACACAUGCAAGUCGAACGAGAUCUUCGGAUCUAGUGGCGCACGGGUGAGUAACGCGUGGGAACCUACCUUUUAGUAUGGGAUAACGUUUGGAAACGAACGCUAAUACCGUAUACGCCCUCCGGGGGAAAGGUCAGCCGCUGAAAGAGGGGCCCGCGUCUGAUUAGCUUGUUGGUAGGGUAAUGGCCUACCAAGGCUACGAUCAGUAGCUGGUCUGAGAGGAUGAUCAGCCACACUGGGACUGAGACACGGCCCAGACUCCUACGGGAGGCAGCAGUGGGGAAUCUUGCACAAUGGAGGAAACUCUGAUGCAGCGAUGCCGCGUGAGUGAAGAAGGCCUUUGGGUUGUAAAGCUCUUUCGUCGGGGAAGAAAAUGACUGUACCCGAAUAAGAAGGUCCGGCUAACUUCGUGCCAGCAGCCGCGGUAAUACGAAGGGACCUAGCGUAGUUCGGAAUUACUGGGCUUAAAGAGUUCGUAGGUGGUUGAAAAAGUUGGUGGUGAAAUCCCAGAGCUUAACUCUGGAACUGCCAUCAAAACUUUUCAGCUAGAGUAUGAUAGAGGAAAGCAGAAUUUCUAGUGUAGAGGUGAAAUUCGUAGAUAUUAGAAAGAAUACCAAUUGCGAAGGCAGCUUUCUGGAUCAUUACUGACACUGAGGAACGAAAGCAUGGGUAGCGAAGAGGAUUAGAUACCCUCGUAGUCCAUGCCGUAAACGAUGUGUGUUAGACGUUGGAAAUUUAUUUUCAGUGUCGCAGCGAAAGCGAUAAACACACCGCCUGGGGAGUACGACCGCAAGGUUA